CCACUAUUAAUUCCAUGUCACUCCUGAAAGGCUAUAGAUUUACUGAUAGUCUUCAAUCCAGUUUAGUACUCAUAAGAGAAUAUAAACACUACAUUCUUAUAUCAAGUCACAAUAUAAGGAAGAGAGAUUUAAAGUAAAAACCAGUUUUGUAAGAACAAAAUUCAUCCAUUUCAGUAUCUGCCCAAAAUUCAUCUUGAUCUAAAAGAAUCUUGUCAGUCAAUGAUGUCAGAUUGACUCCUAAAUUAUAUGGGAUCAUACAGUCAUAAAAGAAAACACAAAAUCUCUCAUGUAUGAGUUUCUAGAAGUGAAUAAAUGAUGGCUUAGAUGAGCCACGAAUUUUAAGAUAAAAAAGGCCCAAAUAUGUUCCCUUCUUCCAAUCUCCAUCUUUUAAUAUGUUGUAUUUAAUUUUAGAGGAACUUCUCCAAUUGAGCUUAGCUUUCUUCACCCCAAACAGGCUGAAUUUCGCUAUUUCAAUCCAACCUAUACAUCCAUAUACCUUGCACCCACAAUACUUAUUCCACACCAUAUGCUUGACCAACCUAUACAUCCAUAUACCUUGCACCCACAAUACUUAUUCCACACCAUAUGCUUGUGAUUAACAUGUUUCAAUUUUCCAUGAAUGAUGUGCAACACAGGCAUUGUGGCACAUCACUCCUCCAAGGUCCAUAAUUAGUGAGAAGUUUUGACCUCCUUUGAAGCACAUCAAUUGAGAAAAGUUACUAAAGUAUUUGUGGAUACUAUUUGGGAAUAGUUAGUAUUUGUGAGAGAGUAGUGAAGAUUUUGAGAAUAAAAAGCUGAAAACUGUCUAUAGAUAGUAUACUAUAAUCAAUAAUGAAAUUCAAUCUUUUUCAAUUUCUCUCCUUUCUAGUCACUCUCAGAUUCUUUUUAUUUAUUUCUUCCUUCCUAUUAUUCUUUCUUUCUCUUAGCUGAAAUAAUUGUUUGUUGGGGUUCCUACCAAACAAUUAAAAGCAUGCCAGAGGAGAUGAAAUUGAUUGUUGUGGAGACCAAGAAUGUUGUUCUUGAAGACCUGUGAUCCCUAAUAACCAAAGUAAUGUGGAAGAAGGGUAAGGAGUCAGUAGUGGAGAAGGGGAAGUGACAGAUUGAGGUUAAAGGAAUUCUGCCAAACCCAAGGGAGAAUUUGACUCCUUAAUAGAUACAUCAGCGAAGUUCUUGAUCCAACAUGAAAACUGAAGGUAUGCUCAUAUUCUUCCCAAGAUAAAGUUAGUUAUAUUUGUCAAGAGAGCACCUAAGGCAUGGAUUAGAAAGUGCAUGAAGUACUUUGAGAGGUUUACAAGGUUCCAAAAGAACAAAUGGUGGGACUUCAGCAUGUUUUUGGUUGAUAGGCAAAUGCAUGGUUCCACAUUGGAAAGACUAGAAGAAACUCAUGUUUCAGAAGAGUUUGAGAAGGGGUUAUGUUGCAAAUUUAGGGAUCAAAGGCUAGAUGAUGUUGUGGAGAAAUUUAUGGAGAUAAGACAGGAAAGGACUAUGGAGGAUAUUAUACACAAGUUGAAGACUUGAGAAUCAGGGUGCAAAGGUUAAUGACAGACCUGGGGAAGCUUAUUUCCUCUCUGGUUUCAAAGGGAGCCUGAAAGCUGAGAUAAGACGAAUGAUGAGAAUGUCGAGGCCAACCACUAUUCAAUCCUUCAAAAAUGCAAGAUUGUAGGAG
rnacentral:lncRNA from 1 species